AUGGAAAUAUGUGUAUAUGUUCAUCUGUGUGUGUGUGUGUGUGUGUGUGUGUGUAUAUACACACACACACACACAUACACACACACACACACACACACACAAAGAGAGAGAAAGAGAGAGAGAGGGUUGUUUAGAAUUUCCAAGACUCUAAUCAUACAUAAUUUACUGUCCCUUGCUUUACAAUU